AGAGUUUGAUCAUGGCUCAGGAUUAACGCUAGCGGCAGGCCUAAUACAUGCAAGUCGAACGGCAGCACGGGUAGCAAUACCUGGUGGCGAGUGGCGCACGGGUGCGUAACGCGUAUGCAAUCUACCUAUAACUGGGGAAUAGCCUUCCGAAAGGAAGAUUAACACCGCAUAAAAUCACGAAGCGGCAUCGUUUUGUGAUCAAAUCUCCGGAGGUUAUAGAUGAGCAUGCGUGACAUUAGCUAGUUGGUGAGGUAACGGCUCACCAAGGCGACGAUGUCUAGGGGGUCUGAGAGGAUGAUCCCCCACACUGGUACUGAGACACGGACCAGACUCCUACGGGAGGCAGCAGUAAGGAAUAUUGGACAAUGGGCGCAAGCCUGAUCCAGCCAUGCCGCGUGCAGGAUGAAGGUGCUCUGCAUUGUAAACUGCUUUUGUUUGGGAAUAAACCCUUCUACGUGUAGAGGGCUGAAUGUACCAAAAGAAUAAGGGACGGCUAACUUCGUGCCAGCAGCCGCGGUAAUACGAAGGUCCCGAGCGUUAUCCGGAUUUAUUGGGUUUAAAGGGUGCGUAGGCGGGUUAUUAAGUCAGUGGUGAAAGCCUACAGCUUAACUGUAGAAUUGCCAUUGAUACUGAUGAUCUUGAGUGUGAUUGAGGUGGGCGGAAUGUGUCAUGUAGCGGUGAAAUGCUUAGAUAUGACACAGAACACCGAUUGCGAAGGCAGCUCACUAAGUCAACACUGACGCUGAUGCACGAAAGCGUGGGGAGCAAACAGGAUUAGAUACCCUAGUAGUCC
rnacentral:rRNA from 1 species